GUNACAGCAGCCGCGGUAAUACAGAGGUCCCAAGCGUUGUUCGGAUUCACUGGGCGUAAAGGGUGCGUAGGCGGUCGGGUAAGUCUGACGUGAAAUCUUCAAGCUCAACUUGGAAACUGCGUCGGAUACUAUUCGGCUAGAGGAAUGGAGGGGAGACUGGAAUACUUGGUGUAGCAGUGAAAUGCGUAGAUAUCAAGUGGAACACCAGUGGCGAAGGNGAGUCUCUGGACAUUUCCUGACGCUGAGGCACGAAAGCCAGGGGAGCAAACG
rnacentral:rRNA from 1 species